GGGGACGGCCCAUGGGCCGAACCCUCGGGCCUUCUUUAUACUUCCCCGGUUCGGUUCUAAUGGACCGGCCUAUGGGUUUAAUUUGGAGGUUUGGGUUGCUCAACCCAAAUGCGCGAAAAAGAGAUGGAAAUGACCAGCGGGCGAGUGACCAACAGGGUGGCCUUAAACUGUCGCGGAAAAGGGCAAAAACACCUUUAACGCAGAAAUUGGCCAUAUCGCCAACAGUACUGUGCCGCCGUCGCCGGUCACGAGAGGAAGCAGGAGGACGCGGAUGGAGUAGAGGCCCGGCAGAUUCCCCCUGAAAUGGGGAUCGGCGGUUCUGGUGACAAGGAAGGAGGCAACCCAUAAUUGUUUGCUGUGGACUCACGUCCAUAUGGGUAGACAAAGAGGAAGCAAGCCCUAUCCUAGAGACAAACUGGGUUGCCCCAUUGAUAGCCACGUGUCAGAUGGUCAUUGGUACAAAUAUUUUAUCCAUCACUCCCUAAGAAUAAUGGGCAACUAGGCUUGCCCACUAUCAUAUGUUAAUGCAUUGGGAGAAAACAACGAUCUCUUAAAUUACUGGUUUAUUGGUUAUACCAUUUCAUAUAGACCAACAUCAUAUUAAGGAAACAAUACAUGGGAUGAAAAUUGAACUUCAUUAUUGUUAAUAUUUACAUGAAAAUAAAUUUUCUAUCCCUUCAAUUAUUAUGAUAUACAUGAACAAACAUCCUUUUCUAUAUAAGCUUUUUAUGAGCCCACAUGUAAGCUACUACUCCAACCAUGAGCUCAUAGUCGAAUCCAUGGGAUGUCAUUAGACAUCAUGUGAUGGCGAGGCCUCUAGGAUCGUAGUCGAUGCAGUGAAGGUGUUAUCGAACAUCAAGAAGGCAUCGACCUUUUCCAGGGUCGUGAAAAAGACAUCAUCAGUGCAGUACAUCUGAUCACUGCCAAGCUUGACUGACAACAACGACGAAGCCCAUAAUGCUUCGAGCUCUUCCACAAUAAUCACAAGCUUACCUCCACCAACGUAUAUCGAAGAUGGUGAGGCAAGGUGGCUUCAUUUAAUGUAAUAGAGUCAUCGAAGGAAAGAAAAGUCUCUGGGGGUGUCACAAUAAGAGCCAACAUGGGAUCUUGCACCAUCGCGUUGGGAGCUUGGUAGACAUUGGACCACUAAUUCGAAUCCCCAACUUACCAUAUUUGUUGCUGUUGCUUCUAUCCUCCGCUGGAUUCUAUGACAAGUACAACCAAGUAUUUGAAUCCCCAACAUGGCUUCUUUGACGAUUCAUGCUUUACUAUUGAGAGAAUAGAAGAUUUCUCUCUCUCUCUCUCUCUCUCUCUCUCUCUCUCUCUUUAGCUCAACAAAGCUACCACAGGUUAUUGUCUCUAUGGUGGCCUUCGUGAACGUGGAUUCAUCUCCGACUCAUUUGAGCCGGGACUGUUUGAAGCUGCCACUGAAGAUGGCCUAUUGCGAGCUCUUCUUGACGUGACAGAGAACUUGUCUCUUGAAGCCGUGGGAUACGGAAGAACACAUCGUACAUUGUCCACUCGGAGUUCUUUCGCUAGCCGUUGUUGAAGGAUAAGCACCUCUUUUGCCCCACCAUGAUCUUGUGCUCGUCGACAAUGGACUUGACGAGUUCUUGCAAGAAUUGUUAUCGGCCUUUCGAUCCACAUGUUAGUUGUCAUUGUUCUUGAGCUUCCGCUUCACAAAGAAAUAGCCCUCCUACUGAUCGUUGUCGAGAAGAUUCCAAAGCUCAAUGUUGUAGAUGUUGGCGAAGUCAAUAGCGCGAACAGAGGUGUCCAUCAGCAACCUAGUUGCUGAGGUAGUCAACCACUAGCUCCUUCGCAGACGAAAGGAACAUAUAGCCUCUUGGAACAAGGUCGACAUGCUCCAUGGAUGACUCAAGUUAGUUUUAGGAGAGGAGAGAGGAGACGGACCCAUCUUUGUCACACCCGCCAAAUUAACAUAUUCAAGAGGCAUGAACCUAUCUUAAAUCAAGAAUAUUAUGAUUCAUCCACAUUUCAAAUUUCAAGAUCCAAACUAAUAUUUGAGGACACUGAAAAAACAUUCAAACAUUAUUCACAUCUAUAAAGCUUGUGCAAUUUAUAAUCAUAUACCACAUCACUCGAUAAUUCACAUAACCCAAAGUCAACUUAACAAAAGAUUAACCACACUUACAAAUCUAGAAAGAAAAAGGAGAAGAAAUGGUUUCUUGAAGAUAAGAGGAGUGGAGAUGAGGAAGGAGCAAGGGGAAGGGGAAAGACUUGGGUGGGGUUUCAAUAGUAUGGUUUGACCAUAUGUACUCUAAAGGAAGGACCCAUGCUGCUAAAACCUCAUCUAAGUCUUUCCUCUUCUCCCUUCUCCUUCCUUAUCUUCUCUCCUCUUCAAGAAAUCAUCUCUUCUCCCUUUUCCCUCCUCAUCUCCGCUCUCCUCUCCUUUUGAGGAAACCAAAGCUCGUCGCCCUCGUUUCAAGAGGCUAUAGGUUCCGUCUACGAAGGAGCUGGUGGUUGACUACCUCGGCAACUGGGUCACCGACAAACCCCUCCUUGACCAUGUUGUCACCUUCGAAAAUGUCUAUGACAUCGAGCCAUGGAAUAUUCUCGACAACGAUCGGCAAGAGGGUUAUUUCUUUGCGAAGCGUAAACCCAAGAACAGUGGUGACUUGUGUGUGGAUCAAAAGGUCAACGAUAGUUCUUGCAAGACAACAAGAUCGUGGUGGGGCAAAAAAGCUACCUAUAUUUCAACGACAAUCAACUGAAGAACUCUUGAGUGGACAAUGUAUGAGUAUGAGAUGUGUUAUUUCACAUCCCAUGGUUUCGAGAGACGAGUUCUCGGUCACGUCAAGAAGAGCUCGCAAUAGGCCAUCUAUGGCAGCAACUCCAAAUACUCCCCAUCGCAAAAGGGUCAGAGAUGAAUCCAAGUUCAUGGAAGCCGCUAUAGAGAGUCAUCGGCGGUUGCUUCGUUGCGCUAAAGAGAAAGAGAGUUGAAUCUUCUACUCUCUAAGCAGCAAGGCAUGAAUCGUCAAAGACGCCAUGCUGGGGAUUCAAAUAUUUGGUUGCACAUAUCAUUGAUUCCAGCGGAGUAUUACAGCAAUAGCAACAAAUAUACAAGCUAGGGAUUCGAAUCAAUGUUUUGACAUCUACCAAGCUCCCACCACGUUGGUGCAAGAUAAUACAAGAGUCUAAGCAUAAGCAUAGGACAUGACACUAACGUAAACAUUAUUACACCACGCAAUACAGGAGUCUAAGCAUAAGCAUAAAUUGAUCCAACUGAGGAGGUGUCAUCUUCCCAACUGGAUGCCAUCGGGACUAUCUGCAUAUGUUGAUGUGACGUCGGUCGAUGGACCCAAUCGUAAAGUGAAGUCAUGCGUCGGAUCUUCAUUCUCGGAUUGCAACUGAUGAUUGAGUUCUUACUACAUGCUUGCAUGUCUCUUUCCUUGAUUUGAGAGAGAAAGUCUCUCUCAUAGAGGGGAGUGAGGGACUCCAUCAAUGGUAUGAUUGAACACAAAAAUGGGCUAAAAUAUUGAGCAAUCAUUUUUUGUCUUUUUAACCUAGAGAUUGGAACAUUGUAGGGAUGGACAAAAAUGUUGAUCAAUCAUCCUUCAUCUUGACUUGAAUUGAACUCCUUGUAGUUGUUGGCCAAGCUUAGGAUGACGGAUUCCAUAUCUUUUAGCCUACAAGAUGAUGAAGGCAAGCCCCUAAAAGAGACGAGGAUAAAUUGUGGUCGCCACACGAAUGUAAAGGAUAUUUUCUUCUGAAUGUAAAGAAUUGAAGAGAGAAAAACAGAUAUCGUGUUCCUCC